CUAGAGAUGGAAGUAGCUUGGACGAUUUUCAUUAUCAUGUAAAUCGGGUCACUCAAGGGGCCAACCACAGCUGGGAGCCACUGCUCAGGGGAAGGUUCAUAUGGGACUUUCUACUGCCCAAGGUUCUAUACAGGAUAUAAAGGUGCCUCACAGUAUAGAUCUGGUAGCAAAGAAGAAGAAACAAACACUGAUCUCUUUCUGCCACCCCUCUGACCCUUUGGAACUCCUCUGACCCUUUAGAACAAGCCUACCUAAUAUCUGCUAGAGAAAAGACCAACAACGGCCUCAAAGGAUCUCUUACCAUGAAGGUCUCAGCUAAUUCUUGGCUAAGAUGUGGGUUCCACAUUAGGUUCUGAAUAUGGGGGGAAGGGUCAAUUUGCUCAUUUUGUGUGUGGAUAAAGUCAGGAUGCCCAGGGGCCAGAGCAGGGGGCUGCUGCUUUGGGAACAAUGGCUGAGCAUAUAACCAUAGGUAUGGGAACAAAAAACAUCAAAGUCACUGUAUCAAUUGCCAUGAAGACUCGAGGGACCUGAAUCUACCGAUUCAUCUUAAGGCAGCAGGACCAGUUUGAGUGGCAACAAUGCAGCAGCAGAAUCAAUGGAAACAACAGAAUGAUUGCAAUGUCCUUUUUUUUCUCCUCCUUCUGACUUGAUAAAAGGGACCGUCUUCCUUGGAUUUAGUGAACCCCUUUGGUUCCUGAAAAAUUCAAGGAGUAUCUAGGACAUAGUCCCCAGAAGACAGUACAAGACUUUCUGAUAAACUGGACAUUUCAAGACCCAAAUAACUAAUCAGAAAAAUCAAAGAUGUGAUACUAUUUUUUAUCCCAUGCAUAGGUGCUACACUUGGAUCAAAUGAACAAUGUUGGGAUCUCUAUGGAUAAAGGUCUUAAAAGUCCUGAGAUAAAGAAUCCUGCACCCACUGGUACUUCUAACUUGUCUUGUUUUUUGUCUGAUUUCUGGCUGAUGCAGGGGACUAACUCACUGCCACGCGAAAACUACCUGAACUGAACUAUGACAUCUCACCUGAUAUGUAAGAUGUAACUGUUAUAAUUAUUUUAAACCUCAAUUUAGCAUUAACUAGCCUUUUAAUGUAAACACUUACACAUUAUGACGACUAGAAACAGCAUACUCUCUGGCCGUCUGUCCAGAUAGAUCUUGAGAAGAUACAUCAAUGUUUUGCUCAAGUAGAAGGCUGACUAUACUUGCCGAUCCACAACAUACAGCAAGUAUGAGAACAGUUCUAAAAUGACAGAGAUAGGAACAGUAAUAAAGUUAUUUUAAAAGCUAAUUUGAUAUACUUUACCAAUUUAACAUCUUGCCUGUCCGUGCAGAAUCAAACAUUUACAUGCACUAAAAGACAUAAGCAUCUUCAGUGCUCAAGUGUUCAUCUUUGUAAAAUACCACCAAGGUUGAAAGGAAGGGACAAAAAAAAAAAAAACCCUCUUAUCUCAGUGGGGUAUUGCAUAGCAGAAGCUACUAAUUUAAAGUCCUUUGAUGGACAAGAAACAAUAUUAGGGCCACUUAUCUGAAAUGAACAAAGAUUUAAGUGAAGAUUUCAUCACAGCUUCCCUAGACUGAUAUGCUGUAAUAGAAAAUCAGCUAGGGGGUAAAAUAAAUAAGAGCUCUCUGCAUGCUGAAAGCAAGUAAGAUUAAUAAUAAUGGUAAGAAUAGUAGUCACAGGAGUUUCAGUUAAUGAUGCCAAUAAGCAUGUGCUAGGCACUGAAUUAAAUGCCACAUAUAUCUUUCUUAUGCACAGCAAACUUUGAAGGAUAUAUUCUCCUACUUUUCAUAUAUGACAACAUAUUUGGUGGUAAAUAACGUUCCCAAGGUCACACACCUAGCAAGUAAGAAAGUUAGGAAUUAAAACCAGUAUUGUGUGAAUCUAAAGCCUAACUUUUUUCUCUUUAUCACACCACUACGGCUUGUCUUCAUUAAAGGAAAAGUGUAUCCACUUAAAACUAUCUUCACUCCCUCUCUCCAUACCAAUUAAAAAUAAAAACAUCAAAAUACACUGGAAAUAAAAAAGGAAAAAAGCUGUUGAACCCACAGUACGUGGGAACAGCAAUUAAUUGUCAUGCAGGGAUAAGCUAACAUUAAUAUUCUUCAAAGAAAGCAACUUAAGGCAGAAUCAUUGAAAAGACAAAAGGAUUUUCAACCCCUAUUUAUGGUUAAUACAGCGUAUUUAGUGGAAAAGCAUGUAAGACACAGGUUAAAAACUAUUAGAAAGGGUUAAGAAGUUCAAUACUGAGUCAUAAAGUAAACUAAAAUUAAAGUUCAAACUUCAUAAAAUAUGAAAUCCCUUUAGCUAACAUAAGAUCAUAUAACCAAAAACAUUACAUAGCAAAUAACAUCAGUCAAUAUAAUAAAAGAUGAAUCCUAC
rnacentral:lncRNA from 1 species